rnacentral:lncRNA from 1 species
ACAGCUUCUAAACUUCUAGAAACAUAAAGUAGUUGGUAUUUUUGAUUUUUUUGCACUUGAAUUAAGAAUUGUAGAGUUGGGAUGGUAAUGAUCUCCCUUGGAGUUUAGUGAUCCCUCUAGAGUUUAGUGGUCCCUUUAAAGAAAUAAUAUUAAUCUAAAAGUUAGAAAUUGUCAAAAAUUUGAUCCAAGGGUUAAAAAAUUACAAACACCACAUAAAUUUCUAGAAGAAUAAGAGUAUUUUGAUUAGUUUAUUAAGGCUGCGUUUGUUUCGGGUAGAAAUAAGAACUGCUUAUUUUUGGAGAUAGAUACAUGUUCAAGUAUAAGAGCAUGAAUUAGAGUAAAUUUUUGUUUGGAUAAAAAUUGGAUUGUUUCUGAAAAUAAGAUAAAUAGUAUUUAGAUGGUUAAAUUGGAAUAUCAGGAAUAAGAGUAAUUAUAAUUUUAAAUUAAAAAUAUUUUAUCUAAUUAAUUAACGUCAAAAUAUUAACAAAAAAUAAUUUUAAUAAAAUAAUAAUUUUAUUAGCUAUGACUAUUGUAUAAGAUAAUAAAAAAUAUAUUAAUAUAUUAAUUAAUUAAUUAAUAAAAUAUAACUUAACUUUUUAAUUAUUAGUAAAUUAUUUGAUUAGUUUAAAAAAUUUAAUUUAAUUUGUCAAAAUAUUAAUUAGUUGACCGAUAUAGAUAUUAGUUAUUAGAUAAACACAUUAAAUACUUAAUUUUUGAUAAGUUAAUGAAUCAUAAACAUUAAAUUAAUUAAUUACUUAACUAUUUAAGUAAUAGAUAAUGACUUAAAUAUAUUACUUAGAUUAAUUAACAAGUUAAUAGAAUGGUCAAAAUUAAAUUUA